rnacentral:rRNA from 1 species
GACGAACGCUGGCGGCGUGCUUAACACAUGCAAGUCGAACGGAAAGGCCCUGCUUUUGUGGGGUGCUCGAGUGGCGAACGGGUGAGUAACACGUGAGUAACCUGCCCUUGACUUUGGGAUAACUUCAGGAAACUGGGGCUAAUACCGGAUAGGAGCUCCUGCUGCAUGGUGGGGGUUGGAAAGUUUCGGCGGUUGGGGAUGGACUCGCGGCUUAUCAGCUUGUUGGUGGGGUAGUGGCUUACCAAGGCUUUGACGGGUAGCCGGCCUGCGAGGGUGACCGGCCACAUUGGGGCUGAGAUACGGCCCAGACUCCUACGGGAGGCAGCAGUGGGGAAUAUUGCACAAUGGGCGGAAGCCUGAUGCAGCAACGCCGCGUGCGGGAUGACGGCCUUCGGGUUGUAAACCGCUUUCGCCUGUGACGAAGCGUGAGUGACGGUAAUGGGUAAAGAAGCACCGGCUAACUACGUG